AACGCACCUUGCGCUCCCUGGUAUUCCGGGGAGCAUGCCUGUUUGAGUGUCGUGAAAUCAUCAUGGUCAUGAUCUUUAAUUAAUCAUGGCUUGGUUUUGGAGGUUAUGUUGGCUUUUUAUUAAGUUGACUCCUCUUAAAUACAUUAGCUCAGUGUUUAAUGCUUAGAGCGGUUCACGGUGUGAUAAUUAUCUACGCCGUCGGAUGUCUGCUUUAAAGGGUGUGCGCUGCUUCUAACCGUCUAUUAAGUUGGACAAUCAAUGACAAUUUGACCUCAAAUCAGGUAGGACUACCCGCUGAACUUAA
rnacentral:rRNA from 1 species